rnacentral:rRNA from 1 species
AUGAAUAUCAUUUGCUGGAACUAUCGAGAUUUGGGGUCGGACUCGACAGUUGGCGAGCUUCGCUGGCUUGUGAAGCUUUACCACCCCAUCCUCCUCUUCUUAUCUGAGACGAAGAUGAGGGAUUCCCGUGCAAAAAAUUUCAUGUGAUCUUUGGGUUUCACUGGUGGUCAUGCCGUUAGUAGUGUUGGUCAAAGUGGUGGCCUUGUUCUGUUCUGGACUGCGUCCGUAAGUGUUUCUUUAAAGGCUUUUAAUGAUCGUUGUAUUGAUGUUCAUGUCCAUCCGGAAGAUGGUGUGCCUUGGCGUGCAACCUUCAUUUUAUGGUGA